UACGUAGGGUGCAAGCGUUAAUCGGAAUUACUGGGCGUAAAGCGUGCGCAGGCGGUUUUGUAAGUCAGAUGUGAAAGCCCCGGGCUUAACCUGGGAAUGGCAUUUGGGACUGCAAGGCUUGAGUGCGGCAGAGGAGACUGGAAUUCCUGGUGUAGCAGUGAAAUGCGUAGAUAUCAGGAGGAAUACCGAUGGCGAAGGCAGGUCUCUGGGCUGACACUGACGCUCAUGCACGAAAGCGUGGGGAGCAAACAGG
rnacentral:rRNA from 1 species